rnacentral:misc_RNA from 1 species
CCGAGUUUACAACUCCCAAACCCAAUGUGAACGUUACCAAACUGUUGCCUCGGCGGGGUCACGCCCCGGGUGCGUAAAAGCCCGGAACCAGGCGCCCGCCGGAGGAACCAACCAAACUCUUUCUGUAGUCCCCUCGCGGACGUAUUCUUACAGCUCUGAGCAAAAAUUCAAAAUGAAUCA